GAUGAACGCUGGCGGCGUGCCUAAUACAUGCAAGUCGAGCGAAUGGAUUAAGAGCUUGCUCUUAUGAAGUUAGCGGCGGACGGGUGAGUAACACGUGGGCAAUCUGCCCUUGACUCUGGGAUAACUGCGGGAAACUGUAGCUAAUACCGGAUACUUUCACUGGAAGGCAUCUUCUGGUGAAGAAAGAAUUUCGGUCAAGGAUGAGCUCGCGGCCUAUCAGCUUGUUGGUGAGGUAACGGCUCACCAAGGCGACGACGGGUAGCCGGCCUGAGAGGGUGACCGGCCACACUGGGACUGAGACACGGCCCAGACUCCUACGGGAGGCAGCAGUGGGGAAUAUUGCACAAUGGGCGCAAGCCUGAUGCAGCGACGCCGCGUGAGGGAUGAAGGCCUUCGGGUUGUAAACCUCUUUUAGCAGGGAAGAAGCGAAAGUGACGGUACCUGCAGAAAAAGCACCGGCUAACUACGUGCCAGCCGCCGCAGUAA
rnacentral:rRNA from 1 species